AACUGCCGACACGUCAGCCUAAAGGAAGCGGGAGGCGAGGCGGAACGGGCCGCGCGGAGGGACAAGAGACUCCUCCCCCGACGCAGAUACCGAACGCGCGCGCCCCGCUCCGGCAGGGACGGGCCGGAACAGCCUCAGCCCCGCCCACCUCACGUGGCGGGGAGCGUCCUGCUUGUUGUGAGGCGGAAGGGCCUUGUUUGGGAGCCAGGUGACUAGGUUCCUGGAAUAUGGCAGGCGGGAUGCAGGGGGGCUCAAGUUAGUAAAGUGUUACUUUAGGUUUUCGUAUUGUCAAUAGUGUUUAAGAGCAGUGUUGAUCAAAUUAACUACUUUUAUUUUUCUUGUGCCCUUCAUUUGUUUUUGGGGGAGGAAAGGGGAGGAGAUGUGCCUGUGCCUGCGAUUAGUAUCUCUUCUUCGCUGGCUAUUAAGGAGCAGUACGUAGUGAAUUAUGUUAAUUUUUAUAUGGACACAGAGCAAUUGUACCUUUUGGGUGACAAAUGGGAGACAGUACUGAAGGGAAUAUUGGCUCUAUCAAGUAAUGAAAUAGGAACAUAUGAUAAUAUGCAUAUAUAGCUACCGAUGAAACGGAGGAAGCAAAGGGCACCUUUAUUUUGCUUUACUCUGCAUUGAAAUCAGUAAAAGAUACAAUACCAAAGGCACAAAGCAUGAAAGCAAGAACUGAUAAGCUGGACUUGAUUAAAAUUAAGAACUGCUCUGCUAAAGUCAAAGUCAAGAGAAUGGAAGACAAGAUAUGAACUGGGAGAAAAUCUUUACAAAAGACAUUUCUGAUAAAGGACUGCUAUCAAAAUAUACGAAGAAGUCUUAAAACUCAAAAGUAAGAAAACAAGGAGCCCAAUUAAAAAAUGGGCCAAAGACCUUAACAGGCAUCUCACCAAAGAAGAUGUAUAGAUGGCAGAGCCACCUAUAAAAGGAUGCUCUGUAUCAUGUCAUCAAAGAAACACAAAUUGAAAUAAGAUAUCACUACACAACUAUCAGAAUGACCAAAAUAUGGAAUAUUGACAAUACCAAAUGCUGAUGAGGAUGUGAAGCAAUAGGAACUCAUAUUUGUUGCUAGUGGGAAUGCAAAAAGGUACAACCACUUUGAAAGUUUGGUGCUUUCUUACAAAAUAUAAAAAUACUCUUACUCUCAAUUGAACACUUGCACUCCUUAGUAUUUAUCCAAAGAAGUUGAAAACUUAUGUCCACAUAAAAACCUACACACAGGUAUUUAAGGCAUCAUUAUUCAUAAUUGCCAAAACUUGGAAGCAGCUAAGAUUUCCUUCAGUAGGUGAAUGGAUAAAUGAACUAUGAUACAUCCAGGCAAUGGAAUAUUAUUCAGCACUAAAAUGAAAUGGGCUAUCAAGUCCUGAAAAGACAUGGAGGAACCUUAGGUGCAUACUGCUAAAUAAAAGAAGCCAAUCUGAAAAGGCUACAUACUGUGUGAUUCCAACUAUAUGACAUUAUGAAAAGGCAAGACUAUAAAGACAGUAAAAAGACCAUUGAUUGUCAGGGGUUGGGGAAGGUGGAGGGAUGAAUAGGCAGAGCCUGGAAGAUUUUUAGGGCAGGGAAAACACUAUGAUAUUAUAAUGAUGGAUGUGUGUUGUUAUCAUACAUUUGUCCACCCCAAUAGGAUGUAGGACACCAAGAGUGAGCCCUAAUGUAAACAAUUAACUUUGAGUUAUUAUGAUGUAUUAAUGUAAGUUCAUCAUUUAUAACAAAUGUUCCACUUUGGUGAGGGGAUUUUGAUAAUGGAGAGGCUACAUAUGUGUGGGUGCAGAGAAUCUAGGGGACAUCUUUAUACCUUCCUUGCAAUUUUCUUAUGAACCUAAAACUGCCCUUAAAAAACAGUUUAAAACUUUAAAUAAAAUAUAAAAGUUAGUCCUUCAUUCACAAUAGCCACUUUUCAAAUGUGCAAUAGCCAUAUGUGGCUCAUGGCUAUCUUAUGGAACAGUAUAGAAAACCAUUUUCAUCUUCAACAAGAGCUCUAUUGGACAGUCCUGGUUUCAAUCUUUGAUAAAGGCACACAUUUGUUCACUCUGAAAUCAUGAGACUCAAAACAACUAUCUGCACCUAACAACUAUACCUUAACUGCAGUGUCAGUUAUUUUGAGUGGGGAAUAAGAAUGAAAGGGGACUAUUUCAAUGUUGGCUAACAUCAUGAUAAAGAGUAGAGGAGCUUUAAGUAAUCUAAUGUAUGAAUAGGAUAAUGGUAAACAGUACAAGUGGCUACUGAAUAAGAGAUGAGAGAUUCCUCUUAAGAACAAACUAUAUGUAGACUUGGAAAAUAAAGCUUCAUUUCUCUAAAAAAACCUUUCUAACAGCUUGUGUCUACAGACUUACGUCAAAUUUUUGACACAUAUAUUAUGUGGGAAGGACUCAUGGUCCUUCACUACACUAGGUACAUGAUUGUGUACGGAUGCUACACUAGGUACAUGAUUGAGAAACCAUCCUCAGAUUCAUUUUAAAUUCAAAGGCUAAUAAUAUAUUCUAACAUUUGUAAUAUGGAUUGAUGGUUUCUUUGAUGAUAUGAGAUGUGAUCCUGUAAAAUUCCUCCAAGGUAAACCAUACUUUUAAUAAAAUUUGAAGACUUUUUCUUUGUUUACUAGAAAAUAAAACAAUAAAAUGUGAAGUACUUUUUCCAACUCAACUAGGAAAAUAAACCCAAGCAACUGCAAAAUGUGUAUUCUUAACCAAGUCAUUGCAGAGAAAUUACAAAGACAUUGUGUUAAUAUUGUCACUGAUAUUACCUUAUUGUAGUUAGGGAUUUAACAAGCACCUUGAUACCACCAUCAAAGAUGGCAGUUCAAUCUUAUGCAUAGAAAGCAUCAAUACCCUUGGAAGCUACUAUGAUUUAUGGGUGAAAGAAAAGCCAAAAGGUCAGAAAAAAGAAGAUGAAAUUGAAGAACUAGAAAUAAGGGAAGCAAAGAAGGUAUAGAGGGUGGAAUAGUUAACAAUACCUCUACGGGGUCAAAGAGAAUGAAAAUAAAUGCAAACCCAUUGACUAUUAAAGCAAAGAGGUUAUGACUUUUAAGAGGGGAUUUUUUUUUUCCUGCUAUGAUAGCAAUGGA